rnacentral:rRNA from 1 species
AUUGAACGCUGGCGGCAUGCCUUACACAUGCAAGUCGAACGGCAGCGGACCUUCGGGUGCCGGCGAGUGGCGAACGGGUGAGUAAUAUAUCGGAACGUACCUUUCAGUGGGGGAUAACGUAGCGAAAGUUACGCUAAUACCGCAUAUUCUGUGAGCAGGAAAGCAGGGGAUCGCAAGACCUUGCGCUGAUUGAGCGGCCGAUAUCAGAUUAGCUAGUUGGUGAGGUAAAGGCUCACCAAGGCGACGAUCUGUAGCGGGUCUGAGAGGAUGAUCCGCCACACUGGAACUGAGACACGGUCCAGACUCCUACGGGAGGCAGCAGUGGGGAAUUUUGGACAAUGGGCGGCAAGACCUGAUCCAGCCAUGCCGCCGUGAGUGAAGAA